GGAUAUCAGGGUGAUCUGGCUUAAACAUCUGUUACUCCACUGACUGCCAGGUUGCUUUGGCCAAACUGGCUGGCUAGGCAGGCAUCCCCUUCUUCCCUCACCGCUCCCUGCAUAUCCCUCCUAUAGCUAUGUGCUAGGUUGAAGAGGACUACCUUUCCAAAUAUAGGGGGACUGUUCUGUCAAGGGUGUAGGAGUAGCUAUCUUCUGCUAGAACUUCCAAACAAGAUCUCAGUAUGAGAAUUUUACUUUAUUCUAAUAUCUUAAGAAUUACAUGAUAUUAAAGUAGUACAAAAUAAUAUUAAAGCCUAAGAUUUGAAUAAAAUUA
rnacentral:snRNA from 1 species